GCCAUGGCUCAGUGGUAGGGCUACAGCUUUGAAUGCACAAGGCCCCAGGUUCAACCCCUGGGAGAAGUG